GAUGAACGCUAGCGGGAGGCCUAACACAUGCAAGCCGAGCGGUAUUUGUCUUUCGGGACAGAGAGAGCGGCGUACGGGUGCGGAACACGUGUGCAACCUGCCUUUAUCUGGGGGAUAGCCUUUCGAAAGGAAGAUUAAUACCCCAUAAUAUAAUGAAUGGCAUCAUUUAUUAUUGAAAACUCCGGUGGAUAGAGAUGGGCACGCGCAAGAUUAGAUAGUUGGUGAGGUAACGGCUCACCAAGUCGAUGAUCUUUAGGGGGCCUGAGAGGGUGAGCCCCCACACUGGUACUGAGACACGGACCAGACUCCUACGGGAGGCAGCAGUGAGGAAUAUUGGACAAUGGGUUAGCGCCUGAUCCAGCCAUCCCGCGUGAAGGACGACGGCCCUAUGGGUUGUAAACUUCUUUUGUACAGGGAUAAACCUACUCUCGUGAGAGUAGCUGAAGGUACUGUACGAAUAAGCACCGGCUAACUCCGUGCCAGCCGCCGCGGUAACAC
rnacentral:rRNA from 1 species